CAGGAUUGGAAUGAUGAACUCAUAGUUCAACAGAGAACUAAUGAAGAUUUGAGCAUUUGUCUUUCGCUCCUAUCUGACAUUCCUG